UACGGAGGGUGCGAGCGUUGUUCGGAAUUAUUGGGCGUAAAGGGCGCGUAGGCGGGUCACUAAGUCGCAUGUGAAAUCCCUGGGCUUAACCCAGGAAGUGCAUGUGAGACUGGUGGUCUUGAGAGUCAGAGGGGGUAGUGGAAUUCCACAUGUAGGAGUGAAAUCCGUAGAUAUGUGGAGGAACACCGGUGGCGAAGGCGGCUACCUGGCUGACAACUGACGUUGAGGCGCGAAAGCGUGGGGAGCAAACAGGAUUAGAUACCCUAGUAGU
rnacentral:rRNA from 1 species